rnacentral:rRNA from 1 species
AUUGAACGCUGGCGGCAGGCCUAACACAUGCAAGUCGAACGUGUGGCGGACGGGUGAGUAAUGUCUGGGAAACUGCCUGAUGGAGGGGGAUAACUACUGGAACCGGUAGCUAAUCCCGAAUACCAUCGGAUGUGCCCAGAUGGGAUUGGCUAGUAGGUGGGGUAAAGGCUCACCUAGGCGACGGUCCCUAGCUGGUCUGAGAGGAUGACCGGCACCACUGGAACGGGGAAAGGGUCCAGACUCCUACGGGGGGCAGAAGUGGGGAUGAUGGCAAAUUGGGGGCAAGCUGGAUGAAGCAAUGCGGGGGGGAGGAAGAAGGCCUUGGGGUGUAAAAGUACUUUGAUCGGGGAGGCGUUACCUGCAGAAGAAGCAACGGCUAACUCCGUGCCAGCAGCCGCGGUAAUAC